UGCGUAGGCGGCCUGGCAAGUUGGGUGUGAAAUCCCUCGGCUCAACCGAGGAACUGCGCUCAAAACUGCCUGGCUUGAGGGAGAUAGAGGUGAGCGGAACUAAUGGUGGAGCGGUGAAAUGCGUUGAUAUCAUUAGGAACACCUGAGGCGAAAGCAGCUCACUGGGUCUCUUCUGACGCUGAGGCACGAAAGCGUAGGGGAGCGAAC
rnacentral:rRNA from 1 species